CCUCUCAGUGUAGAUAAUGCUCACGUCUCGUACAUUUUCCAAUUCUUUUUGGUUCGAGUAAGUGAGCUAAUUCCGCUUCAUUUCUGAAAGAUAAGUUCUACCUCGUAUCUAGCACAAUGUCUCGCUUUCGCCAAAUCGCUUUUCCAGAUGGCGAUCCUCUUUCUCCACCUUUACUCCACUGAGUGUGUCCUGGUGGGCUAACAACCGAUUAAAAAAAAUACCCGGAAAAAGGACAUAAAACAACAAACAGUUGGGUGGAAGUCGACCUUUACAAGAUCAAGACAAGGCCGACCACACCCUGGCCGCUCGGUAUAAAAGCCCUUCGCCGCAAGAACGAGGACAUUGUGCAGUCGAACCUCGAGGCAUAACCACACCACAUCAAAAUGUUCAGAACCGUAUUUGUACUUUUGGCCGUUUUGGCUGUCGUCCUCGCCGCCCCCGGCUACCUGUACCCCGGCUACCACAGCUACCUUGCCGCCCCUUACACCGUCAACCACGGAUACACCGUUGUUCAUUCGGUCGAACCUGUCGAGCAACACGGAUACACCUUCGCCUACUAGGAUAAACUACAAGGAUAAAAACACUAUGUAAAUACCCUAGCCAAAAUACACUCCCAAAACAAAAAUAUAA